UCCCUGUCCCUGUGUCACAGCUGUCCCCCUGUCCCCCUGUCCCCUCAGGUGGCCGCUGGCCCCCGCUGGCCCUGCAGGAGUUCCUCCGCCUCACCUCCUGCGCCCGCUGGCUGCCGCUGGUGGCUCAAAUCUGCAGCUACGGCCCGGCCGGGCCCCGCCUGCGCCUCUUCAGCCACGGCCAGGUGGGUCCCGGUGUCCCCAAUGUCCCCAAAUGUCCCCAAAUGUCCCCACAGCCACGGCCAGGUGGGUCCCGGUGUCCUCAAAUGUCCCCAAGUGUCCCCAAAUGUCCCCAAAUGUCCCCAAAUGUCCCCACAGCCACGGCCAGGUGGGUCCCCGGUGUCCCCAAGUGUCCCCAAAUGUCCCCACAUGUCCCCACAGCCACGGCCAGGUGGGUCCCGGUGUCCCCAAUGUCCCCAAGUGUCCCCACAGCCACGGCCAGGUGGGUCCCGGUGUCCCCAAGGUCCCCAAUGUCCCCCAAUGUCCCCUGCCCUGUCCGCUGUCCCCGCAGAGCCUGGACGUGGGAGCUGAGCUGGUGCGUUUGGGCUACGCCGUGCCCGCGCCCCACGAGGAGCCCCCGGACACCCUCGGCUGCGCCUCCACCCCGAGCCCACCGGAGCCCGGGGCCAGCCCCGGGACCCCGUCGUGCCUCACCGCCGCCGCCGUGCCCGGGGAUGCCGUCACGGUCACCUGAAGCCGCCCGGUGACCCCAUCACGGCGACCGGAGUGGCUCCCGGUGCCUCCGCCGCGUGCAGCCGCCACGGCGGAGCCCUCCGGGAGGCCGGACCGGCAAAGCGUGGGGAUCUCCGCUUGUGCCUCCCGACACACCGGGACCGACGGCCGCCGGUGCCCCUUCCGUUACCGGCUGCUCCCGGUUCCCUCGCCUUGUUGUGCUGUUCUGUUGCACUGACGGUGGUUCGGAGUUAAUAAAGUUAAAGGUUUUCUCA
rnacentral:lncRNA from 1 species